GAUGAACGCUAGCGGCAGGCCUAAUACAUGCAAGUCGAACGGUAAGUAUUUUAGCAAUAGAAUACGAGAGUGACGUACGGGUGCGUAACACGUAUGCAACCUACCCUUUACAGGAGGAUAGCUCGGGGAAACUCGGAUUAACCCUCCAUGAGAUCACAGUGUGGCAUCACACAGUGAUUAAAACUCCGGUGGUAAAGGAUGGGCAUGCGUCUGAUUAGUUAGUUGGCGGGGUAACGGCCCACCAAGACGAUGAUCAGUAGGGGAACUGAGAGGUUGAUCCCCCACACUGGCACUGAGAUACGGGCCAGACUCCUACGGGAGGCAGCAGUAGGGAAUAUUGGUCAAUGGAUGGAAGUCUGAACCAGCCAUGCCGCGUGCAGGAAGAAGGCCUUCUGGGUUGUAAACUGCUUUUGCCAGGGGAUAAAAAGACCAUGCGUGGUUAAUUGAAGGUACCUGGUGAAUAAGCCACGGCUAACUACGUGCCAGCAGCCGCGGUAAUAC
rnacentral:rRNA from 1 species